GCGCGAGUGGCGGAAUGGCAGACGCACCAGCUUGAGGGGCUGGCGGGAGCAAUCCUGUGCGAGUUCAAAUCUCGCCUCGCGCACCA
rnacentral:tRNA from 1 species